CCUCGCUUUAUCUCCUCUGGACCACGGCAUCUCUCCAACCACCCGCUCUCCUCUCUCACGUCUCCUUGUUUUCUUCUUCCUCUCCAAGGCAGAAUCGGAGGAGGAAACCCCCCUCAGUACACCUCCUCCUCGCCGUCAAUCCGCCGUUUCCGACCACCCCAAGUAGCGCCGCCACCUCCAAUCGAAGUGCAUCGCCGUCCUCUACGACAUGGCGGAAGGAAUUGACUCGGGGCGCCCUAUCCCGACCGCUUUUUCGCCGACUCCUCGCGUCGGCCUUCGUCUUCAACCUUCGAUUCCGGCGACCGCCCUCCUCCUCUUCCCUCGCCAUCGACAUGUUGAGCUCCAGGACCUCGUCGACGGCAGCACUCCGGCCUCCUCCUGGCGACGGCGCCGCCUCCCCCUGACCCGCGCCGUCGAGGCGAACCCGGCGCCCCCUUCUUCGCUUCCGGGGACGCCCCACAUCGCCCGCUCUCUUCAUCGCCGCCCGCGGUGACCACCUUCCUGGAACGCGCACGGCGUCACCGUGUCGAGCACCUUCUGUGCGUGCACGCUUGGUCGCCACGUCUUCAGCCACGUCGUCCGCCACAUCAACGUCCGGGCCCAGUCGUCAGCGUCCGCACCUAGUUCUUCCCCGUAGGUUUUCUGGAAAACCCCCUGGACCUCCUGCAAACCAAGCCGAGGCCCUCUGCUUGGUCAGCUGCCGUGUCAGUGCCCCUGGGCCCGCUCGUCAGCCCCUGUGGCUGGAACCUCUUCGCAUUUGCUUCUUCCCGGAUAGGAUCGCGAAGUGGUGUGGUGAGAUACGACAAGUUCUCCGGAUGUUCCUCGGCAAUCUCUAGCAGGCAAGCAUUUUCCCUUAUACUCCUGUCCCUGCAGGAGUCGCUCACCUAUUUUAUUUUGCCUUCUCCCUCAUGCUAUCCUUAAGUUGCGUUCUUGUCACGUGUCCCUUCCACUUGUUACCUCAACCAGCCUAUAUGGACUCCACCAACCUCGUACAACUAUUGUUUGGUUAUCGGGUCUGCCUUGCGAGUCGUAGUGCAUGCUAGUGCCGUUUUAUCUCGUUAUCGUUGCUGUUAUCUUAUCGGGAUAUGUUGGGUUGUUGGGAGGUUAUCACAUGCUAUAUCAAUUGUUGGAGAUACACAUGCUUUACUUAAUUGUUAACAACUUAAAUUUUAAGCAGAGGCAUCUGUGAGCCCCUUUGCGAAGGCAUCGGAACUUUGACUUGCUAAUGUCCCCUAGGACCCGAGUUCUUGUUAUCUGUUCCGAGAUUGAGCGCUCUACCCGUACGUGGGGGAGUGGGACCCCCAUCACCCACUACCUUUCCUCGAGUCUAUUUAUUGGGAGCCACAACCUUGGUUUUAUUUGCCUAUGCCAUGCUUUACUUACUGUUGCCUUCGGGUGUUUACUUCCUGUUGCCUUCGGGUGUUUAUAUUCUGUACCGUACCUUGCGGGACGUUUAGCGAAGCGUGUGGUUCGCACGCCUAGCCGCCGGCGCAAACCUCUGGGUCCGUAUCGGAGUACGGCCGGACUUCGUCACGGGUAGCCUAGUUGGGUGGCUCCCAUUUAAACUUUCUCUUGCAUUGGGAACGGUCUUGAUGUGAGACUCCACCUGUAGUAAGUGGGUUCGAGCAUGCGUAUGGUUACAUUUGGGCAACCCCUGCAGGGUGUACAUCUUAUCGAUAAGCCGUGUCCGCGGUUAUGGACGACUUGGAAUUGUAUAGCUUGAUCAUAGAACAACUUACACUUUUAUCUUGUUGCUAAUAAUCUGAUAAUAACUUGCGUAGUAAUAUAGCCUUACUACAACCGUUACCCAAUAAAACUUGUCCACCGUUGAGUGCCUUUUACAUUUCCUCUUCGCAAUUGUUGGAGGGGAUAUGUGUAAUCGGCUGGGUUAUGUUUGUGUAGUAUUUUAUCUGUUACCUUAUGCGCUCUCUCACCUUCUCUGAUUAGACGUAUGUUGUAGAGUGUCUCUAUAGGUUUUUAGUGCUUGCGCGCUGCCGCUUAACCCCACCAUAUUGCCUAUGACGUUCCUCUUGCGUCCUCUAAGUCCCCUGCGUGCCUCAAGUACAAAGGACGACUGGUUGACGAAUGCUUAUACGUCUUGAAGUCUUGUUAAGUACGAACCCGUACUUAUUGCUGCUUCUACGGGAUAUAACCUAGGGCGGUAUGAAGAUAUGUUCGAUGAAGACGACGUUAGCAAGGUUACCCUUCCAGCUUGGCACAGGCGGGGUUAUGGACGCCGCUGGUUAUCUUCAGGACUCUUAGUCCAAUUUGUAUCUUGUCCGUACUCGGAUGUAUUCGCUCUUCUGUAUGAUUUGGAUCUUUGUAUGUAUCUAUUUGUAUCUUGACUCGUUGGAGUCGUUGUUGUAAUAUAUGUAUCUUGUGGGCUCUA